rnacentral:misc_RNA from 1 species
CACAAACUAAAAUAUGAAGGCUUCGGCUGGAUUAUUUUUAUCACCCUUGUCUUUUGCGCACUUGUUGUUUCCUCGGGCGGGUCCGCCCGCACCAUUGGACACACAUUAAACCAUUUAUGCAGUUGCAAUCAGCGUCAGUAUAAAAACUGUAAUCAUUUA